AUGCUGCCAUCCAUGUUAAUUUUUUUGACUCGUCAUCCAUGUUAUUUUCAAACCUUCAGAAUUACUAAACCUUCUCCUAGAGAAUACCUUGUUAAAAACAAGAGAACAAAACAAAAGGAGAGACACAUUAUGGACUCUGAAGCAAGCAGGCAGAACCUUGGUAUGUCCAACGGUUUUAUGGCUCUGCUGCCGGGCAGAACUCUGCUUGGUUGCACUUGCACAUGCGUAGGCAGUAGGCUGUUGAAGGCUUCAAGGCAUUGGCUCUGUGCCUCUGUAUCACUGUGUGCAUGCCGUGCCACAGUAUGGAGACCUAUGUCAUCAGAGUGA
rnacentral:rRNA from 1 species